GUGGGGAAUAUUGGACAAUGGGCGAAAGCCUGAUCCAGCCAUGCCGCGUGUGUGAAGAAGGUCUUCGGAUUGUAAAGCACUUGAAGUUGGGAGGAAGGGCAGUAAGUUAAUACCUUGCUGUUUUGACGUUACCAACAGAAUAAGCACCGGCUAACUUCGUGCCCGCAGCCGCGGUAAUACGAAGAGUGCAAGCGUUAAUCGGAAUUACUGGGCGUAAAGCGCGCGUAGGUGGUUCAGCAAGUUGAAGGUGAGAUCCCCGGGCCCAACCUUGGAACUGCCUCCAAAACUGCAUGACUAGAGUACGGUAGAGAGUAGUGGAAUUUCCUGUGUAGCGGUGAAAUGCGUAGAUAUAGGAAGGAACACCAGUGGCGAAGGCGACUACCUGGACUGAUACUGACACUGAGGUGCGAAAGCGUGGGGAGCAAACAGGAUUAGAAACCCUGGUAGUCC
rnacentral:rRNA from 1 species